AUAGGUAAGCGGUCUUUGCAGUUCAAGUUUGAAACUCGCUGUUGCCUCUCGCCCAUCUGCCGCUGGGGUUUUCUCCUCGCCGGCUCUCUGUUCGUGCUGCCGUUGUGGUUGCCUGAUGCGUCCGGGGUUGUAUGGAGCUGGGGAGGGGGGGUUGCUGGUUUUGAUGGUGCUACGUUAAGUGGAGAGGAAAAAAAGAGGACAAAAAUCGCAAAACACAUCAAAAGCAAAAUGUGCCUUUGCGCCGACCCCGUGCGAAGCCGCGGGAAGGAGCCGGCCCGGCGGCGCACGUGUUGCGGCGGGGAUGUCCGCAGCUGCGGGCGGCAGGUAGCGGUUGCGGGGGCUCCCGGGACGCGGGAAGCCCCGGGCAGCAGCGGCUGCUCCUGCCCUCCGUGCCGGAACUGGACCUGGAGCUGGUCCCGGUCUCGGCGCCGCCGCGAGACGCGUCGGGGAGCAGCGAGCGACGGCAGCGCACCAGGAUCCUGCCCGGAGGCCGCCGCGCACCUCGCCCCCUGGCGACCCGGCUCCGACACCAGGCGCGCCGCCGUGGUGGGCCGGGGGGCGGCCCUGCGCCUGGAGAGCUCCGCUGCCUUCCACUCCCUCGUCAUCCGCGACGGAGGGAUGCUGGUGUUCGCCGACCGUCCCCGCGGGCCGCCCAUCACCCUGCGCGCCCGCUACAUCCUUAUCCACGACGGCGGGGAGCUGCACAUCGGCUCCGAGCGCUGCCCCUACGGCUCGCGGGCCACCAUCUCGCUCUACGGGCGGGCCACCGACGGGGCGGCUGUGGAGGGCUUCGGGCAGAAGUUCCUGGGCGUGGGGCGCGGCGGCGUCCUGGAGCUGCACGGCCGGCGGCCCCGCUCCUGGACCCUCCUGGACAAAACGCUGUACCCCGGCGGGCUCCGCUACGGCCCCUAUUCCUCCGAGAAGCGGUGGGGCAGCCGCGGGCUCAACCUCCGCAUCUUGGACGCCGGCACGGCUCGGGUGCUGGCGGCGGCGCGCUUCGACACGCACCUGCGGCACGGCGAGUGCGGGCGGCUGCGCUCCUUCCUGGCCAUGCAGCCCCCCGGCACGGUGGUGGCGGCCGCCGUGGGGGACUCUGCCUCCCGCAGCCUCACGCUGGAGACGCGGCUGCUGCUGCGGGACCGCCUGGGCAGCGCUCACAUCGCCCGCCUGCGACACAGGCAGCCCUGGGCGCUGGUGGGGAUCCUCGGAGGGGAUCAGCCUUCCGCAGCAGAGGAUAAACGGGAGUACCACGGGAGUGGAACCACGGGGUUAGCAGUAGCCCGAAGAGAAUUCCUCACCUACGACGGGACCCGGUUUACCGUUACUGCUUUCAGUGGAUGGAUAAAAGGGGUGCCUCAUAAUGGAUUUAAAGUGGAAGCAUCCAGUGGAAUAAUUCUCCAUUUGGUGGAUGAAGUUACCAGUUGGUUACCUGGUGACCGGAUCGUUGUUGCCAGUACAGAUUAUUCUAUGCAUCAGGCUGAAGAGUUUAAUCUCCUUCCUUGCCCUGAAUGUAAAAGUAAUCAAGUGAAAAUUGAUGGCAGCCCACUUUAUCUUCACAUUGGAGAAGUCAUAGAUGGCGUCGAUAUGAGGGCAGAGGUUGGCCUUCUGACUAGAAAUAUACUUAUUCAAGGAGAAAUGGAAGACUCCUGUUAUGGACAAAAUCAAUGCCAGUUUUUCUCCUUCGAUACAUUUGGAGGACAUAUUAAAAUCCUAAGGAAUUUUAGCUCCGUUCACUUGUCAGGAGUGGAAUUGAAAAACAUGGGGCAGCAAAUCCUGGGCAGUUACCCUGUGCAUUUUCACUUGGCUGAGGAUGUGGAUGAGAGAGGGGGAUAUGAACGCCCUACGUACCUUGAUAACUUGGCUAUCCACCACUGCUUCUCUAGGUGUGUUGCCAUACAUGGGACUCAUGGCCUUCUGGUCAAAGACACCAUUGGCUAUGAUACUCUGGGGCACUGUUUCUUCCUGGAAGACGGGACGGAGCAGCGCAAUACCUUCUAUCACAACUUGGGCCUCCUCACAAGGCCAGGGACGAUCUUGCCUUCAGAUCGCAGCGAGGUGAUGUGCCUCGCCAUCCGCAGCCAUGUCUAUGGGAAUUAUGUUCCUGUGCCGAGCACCGACUGCAUGGCUGUCAGCACAUUCUGGAUCGCAAAUCCAAACAACAACUUAAUAGCGAAUGCAGCGGCAGGUGCUCAGGAUGUCGGGAUAUGGUACAUCUUCCACCGAGUUCCCACUGGACAGUCUGAGGGGCAAUAUCCAGAGGGACAGGCUGAAUAUACUCCCUUGGGAGUAUUUCACAACAACAGAGUCCACUCCAAUUUCAAGGCCGGUUUGUUUAUUGGAAAAGGAGUAAAGACAACGAGAGCCAAUGCUGAGGAUCCCAGAGAGUAUCUCACUGUCGAUAAUGCCAGGUUUCGCCCACAUCAAGAUGCUGAUCCUGAAAAGCCGCGAGUUCCUGCCGUGAUUGAUGGUCUUAUUGCUUUUAAAAAUAAUGACCAUGGGGCCUGGGCCAGGGGCGGUGACAUUAUUUUCUGCAACUCGGGGUUUUCAGACAAUGGAAUUGGACUCACUCUGGCAAGUGAUGGGACUUUCCCGACAGAUGAAGGCUCCAGCCUGGAGGUGACACGCUCCAUUUUUGUGGGAGAAAGCAGCAAUUUUGGGUCACAGGGAGGCCAAAACAGCUACUGGGGAAAAGGAGCAAAUGGGGAAUACAGAACACUACCCAGAAACAAGACGUUCCCUAUUCGUGGAUUCCAGAUUUAUGAUGGGCCUGUCAGGAUGGUAAAAUGCACUUUCAAGAAGUUCAUUCCAACUGUUGACAGAUACUCAAGUGCCAUUGGGUUCUUCAUGAAAAACUCCUGGCAGAUAAGCCCCCAGAAUAAUGUGUCACAGAUCCUGAUGGAGAAGAGUGUUGGACUGAAAGUGUUUUUUGGCAGAUCAGGCCAGUGGUUUGGAAACAAUGACAAUGAUGGUGACAAAAUGUCUAUCUUCCAUGAUCUGGAUGGCUCGGUGACAGGGUAUCUGGACACUUUCAUAGGCAGAGCGGACAACUACUUGCUGCGUCAUCCCGGGUGUCUCACUGUCCCAUGCUGGAACGGGGUGAUGUGUACUGGGAAAUUCGCACAGCUUUAUAUUCAGGCCAGACGCCCUGAGAAUCUGACCUUAUCCAUUGCCAGAGCAGCAUACCAUUCCCAUCCCUUGCGGUUGCAAGGCGUGAACAGAGGAGCACCAUACCAGCAGUACCAGCCUGUCGUCAUGCUUGAGCAGGCUUAUAUCAUCCAGUGGGAUGGCAGAGCACCUGAGGAUAUUAUCCUGUACCCCAUCAACUUCAACAGAGGAGACUGGCUGCAUGUUGCCCUCUGCUAUCCCAGGGAAGCCGUUUUCCAGGUGGUGGCGGAUAUCUACCAGCGAAGGACAGGGAUGGUGCAUAGCGUAAAGCGCUACCUGGCUGCUCCUUCACGAGCCAGCGCUCUCAAUGGGACCGACGAGCAGCUCUUCUACUUUGACAGAGCAUCAGGCUAAAAUAGGGAGGAAAAAAGUGCUUUGUGGUCUAACCAUGGGUCCCAUGAUGCUUCACCUGACUAAGUAGCUGCUUCAGGAAUCAAUCCACAACUGCCAGAUUUGAAAAUAAGGGCGAUGGGGAAGGAGAAGUUGCCCAAAUUCUGAAAACAGGUUGUUUACUACUGAAUAGCAGGAAAAUAGUUAUACCUGUGGGUCUGUGGGGGAAGAGUCAUUAGCUGCCAGCAGCCACCUGGACCUGGUACCUAUUUGUUCAUCUGCAAGCCCAUGAAGCUCGGGAAGGACACAGCUACUGCUCUCAGAAAGGCUGUGAACGUAUUAAAAUCAUGGCACAUAUGUACCCGGGGGACUCCUGGAGCUGUGACCCAAACCCUUUCCUGGAGAGGCCAGCAGCCACCCAGCGCCCCGUGUCCCAGCACCCAGCUGAGCCAUGCAGGGUGUGUGGGGCCCCGCAGCUUGCUAUCACUAGCACACCCUCAGUCAAGUAUAUAAGGAUCCAGAUCCAGUCUCUCAGCAGGAUGGACAUACAAAACCACUUGACAUCCGCAUUCAUUAAGAUAAAUGACACCGUUUUCCUGUUCAAUAGCCAUGGGAUAUUCUUUGUGGUGGUAGAUGCAUGUUCAGGAGCAGUCGUGAGUAGGCGGCACUUUGACACAGUUACUGGUGAAAACGCUGCCAGUGCAAUAACUGACUACGUUCAAACAUCUAUAAAAGAGAGAUCACUUGUUCUCGUGUGCUCUAGAGAUAUUGCAGAUGUGAUGGGGAGCUCUGAAAUGACUAUUUUUACCAGGUUAGGUUCAGCAAAGCCUAUUGUCUUCCAUAAGGAAGGGAGUUUUGCCAUGCUUGGCUAUAAAGGACAAGCCAAACCCUCCUGGAUUAAAGUCCUUAAUCAUGCUGGUUAUCGUAAAGCUGCUUCUUUACAGCAUUAUGUUCCCUUGAAGCUGAAAGAAUAUCAAUGUCCAGCUAACGCUGAUGAGUCGCUAAAAUUUGCUUUUUCUCAGACUCGCUUGGAGCACAUCUCUACAGAGGCCGCAGCAUCCCAGGAUUAGCAUCACUGGGGAACACCAGCCAGGCAAAGCCUGCUGCUGCCACCAAAGCUGCUCUUGUUUUCAUGGGAUUGUACCAAACCAAUGGUGUUCACUUGUAUAUAUUAUAACUAAUAAAUAUAGUCUCAUCUUU